rnacentral:tRNA from 1 species
CAGGAAAUAGUUUAGUUUAGAAUUCUGGCUUUGGGAGCCAGGGGUGGGAGUUUAAAUCUCUCUUUUUUGG